GACGAACCGUGCGAACGUUGUUCGGAAUCACUGGCUUAAAGGGCGCGUAGGCGGGUGCUCAAGUCCGUGGUGAAAUCCUCCGGCUCAACCGGAGAACUGCCUCGGAUACUGGGUGCCUCGAGGGUGGUAGGGGUAUGCGGAACUAUCGGUGGAGCGGUGAAAUGCGUUGAUAUCGAUAGGAACUCCGGUGGCGAAGGCGGCAUACUGGACCACCUCUGACGCUGAGGCGCGAAAGCCAGGGGAGCAAACGGG
rnacentral:rRNA from 1 species